rnacentral:lncRNA from 1 species
GUGUUUGCUGAGUCACCUUCUCCUUUACAUAAAACAUUUACUCUCCUAGAUGUUUUGUAUUCUUUCUUUUCUUUCUUUCAUGUGUGUGUGUGUGUGUGUGUGUCUGCAUGUGCACGUGUGGUGGGGAUCAAACCCAGGGCACUGCCCAUGCUAGGGAAGUGCUCUGGCACUGAGCCACAUUCCAGUCCACUCUUAUAGGCUUUAAUUUUGAGUUCAAGCUCAUCUCUGGUGGACAGAGUGCCGACGCAGUCUGGCUGGGCACAAAUAAUCGAGCCGCCAAAAAGCCGUGUAGGUUCAAACAGCAACUCUUUAUUCCCAAACUCUCACCUGCUCUCUACACACACUACCCGGGAAUACACUCUCUCCACCGGGCUCUUCAUGCCAAUUCUCCCAGAACCACGUGAGAACUCAAUGGAACUACAAAGUAGCAGUGCCCAAGGCAGCAGGAUCUGCCCUAAUCCCAGCAGGAUCCGCCCUAAUCCCUGAGCUGCCCUAUUCCCUGAGCCUCCCUAAUCCCAGAGCAGGGUCAACUUUCAACCAUUCCCUCUAGCAAAAUGCCAUGCGUCAUCCCGACUCGGCACUGGCCCUCAACAUCUCCCCCUUCUGUUUAAUUAAACAACAAGCAUGUGGCUUAGAGACCGUGCCUGUCUUAGGUUGUCCAAUGCUACAUAUGGUCCUUACCCGUCAUUGGAUGAGCUGACCUCAAGAUGUCAGCCUCCUGUCUUAGGUUGGUACCAUUGUAAUUGGAUCUUACCCGUCAUUGGCUACUGGUCCAGCAUACAGCCAUAAUUGUGGAUAGGCCUUUGCACCAGUGGGGGGUGAAGUUCUUUGCCUCACCUCUGUUGGCCCCCAAAUUUGGCCUUGGUGCCAUUGGGGGGGUGAGGUUCUUUGCCUCACCUCUGUUGGCCCCCAAAUUGUAGACCAUCACAAGCAGGAAGGGAGGAGGAUGAAAAAUGCCAUGGCACCAAGCUAAAUUACAGCUCUUUUUGGAAAAUUGUACCACUGAUGACAUCAUCAGCAAAGAUACCCCAGCACUACCACAAUUCACUGCACCAACAGAUAGUUCCCAAUGCAUGCAAGUGAUACAUAGUCCAGGCAAGUUCUGCAAGCAGUUCAAAGCAGAGGAAUCCAUUAAUAUGUCCAUUUCCUCCCAAAGUAAAUUGACUUCUUGAUUGAGCAUCACCUGUUGAGUUAUUAUUCAUUGAUGCAUCAGUUUAUACAGUUUAAUGUGAUAGCUAUUGAAGAAGCUGUAACUUAGUUUUAUCUUUUUCUUCACCAGCACUGGGAUGAAGAUAGGAAUUCUGGCAAUGAUGGCUAAAAAAAAAUAUGUAACAUUCCAGCAGGCACUAAGAAAACAACUUUCUGAACAAUUUACAUUAUCCUGAGCAGAAUUAUUAAAUAUAAUGAAAAGGAGAGGUGAAAGUAAACAAACAUCUGUUAACCUCCUUUUUUGUUUGCAUUUUAAAACAAUCCUCAACAGCUGUUUACCCAAUUUAAAUUAAACCAUUUAAAUCAUGUGAAUAAAAAAAAAAUUCGGAUCGAUUUUUUCAUGAGUGCACCUCAUAUAAAUGGAC